GAUGAACGCUGGCGGCGUGCCUAAUACAUGCAAGUCGAGCGAACAGAUGAGGAGCUUGCUCCUCUGACGUUAGCGGCGGACGGGUGAGUAACACGUGGAUAACCUACCUAUAAGACUGGGAUAACUUCGGGAAACCGGAGCUAAUACCGGAUAAUAUAUUGAACCGCAUGGUUCAAUAGUGAAAGACGGUUUUGCUGUCACUUAUAGAUGGAUCCGCGCCGCAUUAGCUAGUUGGUAAGGUAACGGCUUACCAAGGCAACGAUGCGUAGCCGACCUGAGAGGGUGAUCGGCCACACUGGAACUGAGACACGGUCCAGACUCCUACGGGAGGCAGCAGUAGGGAAUCUUCCGCAAUGGGCGAAAGCCUGACGGAGCAACGCCGCGUGAGUGAUGAAGGUCUUCGGAUCGUAAAACUCUGUUAUUAGGGAAGAACAAAUGUGUAAGUAACUAUGCACGUCUUGACGGUACCUAAUCAGAAAGCCACGGCUAACUAC
rnacentral:rRNA from 1 species